rnacentral:rRNA from 1 species
GACGAACGCUGGCGGCGUGCCUAAUACAUGCAAGUAGGACGCAGUUGCGAAUGGGUGAGUAACGCGUAGGUAACUACCUAUUAGAGGGGGAUAACUAUUGGAAACGAUAGCUAAUACUGCAUACUAGUAGAUGGAUUUGCGUUGUAUUAGCUAGUAGGUAGGGUAAUGGCCUAUCUAGGCAACGAUACAUAGCCGGCCUGGUAGGGUGGUCGGCCAACCUUGGACCUCAGCACGGCCCAAACCCCUACGGGAGGCAACAGUAGGGGAUCUUCGGCAAUGGGGCGAACCCUGACCGAACAACUCCGCGUGGGUGGAGAAAGUUUUCGGAUCGUAAAACUCUGUUGUUAAGGAAGCGGUACUUAACCAUAAAGGGACGGCUAACUACGUGCCAGCAGCCGCGGUAAUUC